rnacentral:rRNA from 1 species
CCUACGGGAGGCAGCAGUGAGGAAUAUUGGACAAUGGGCGCAAGCCUGAUCCAGCCAUGCCGCGUGCAGGAAGAAGCAUCUAUGGUGUGUAAACUGCUUUUGUACAGGAAGAAACACUCCCUCGUGAGGGAGCUUGACGGUACUGUAAGAAUAAGGACCGGCUAACUCCGUGCCAGCAGCCGCGGUAAUACGGAGGGUCCGAGCGUUAUCCGGAAUCAUUGGGUUUAAAGGGUCCGUAGGCGGUUUAAUAAGUCAGUGGUGAAAUCUGGUCGCUCAACGAUCAAACGGCCAUUGAUACUGUUAGACUUGAAUUAUAAGGAAGUAACUAGAAUAUGUAGUGUAGCGGUGAAAUGCUUAGAUAUUACAUGGAAUACCAAUUGCGAAGGCAGGUUACUACUUAUGGAUUGACGCUGAUGGACGAAAGCGUGGGGAGCGAACAGGAUUAGAUACCCUGGUAGUCCACGCCGUAAACGAUGGAUACUAGCUGUUCGGAGCAAUCUGAGUGNGUAGACGAAGAGAGUAAGUAGUACCACCGUCGGAGGUACGGUUCGUCGAAGAAGUUAGUAAGUUAAGUUAAAGUAGAGUUAGNGNGAGAGACGAGACGACGACGAGGAGAGGAG